rnacentral:rRNA from 1 species
GACGUAGGGGGCAAGCGUUGUCCGGAAUCAUUGGGCGUAAAGCGCACGUAGGCGGCCCUGUAAGUCCGUUGUGAAAGUCAAAGGCUCAACCUUUGAAUGCCGAUGGAUACUGCAGGGCUAGAGUCCGGAAGAGGCGAGUGGAAUUCCUGGUGUAGCGGUGGAAUGCGCAGAUAUCAGGAGGAACACCAAUAGCGAAGGCAGCUCGCUGGGACGGUACUGACGCUAAGGUGCGAAAGCGUGGGGAGCGAACAGG